rnacentral:rRNA from 1 species
GACGAACGCUGGCGGCGUGCUUAACACAUGUAAGUCGAACGGAAAGGCCCUUCGGGGUACUCGAGUGGCGAACGGGUGAGUAACACGUGGGUGAUCAGCCCUGCACUUUGGGAUAAGCCUGGGAAACUGGGUCUAAUACCGAAUAGGACCGCAUGCUUCAUGGUGUGUGGUGGAAAGCUUUUGCGGUGUGGGAUGGGCCCGCGGCCUAUCAGCUUGUUGGUGGGGUAAUGGCCUACCAAGGCGACGACGGGUAGCCGGCCUGAGAGGGUGACCGGCCACACUGGGACUGAGAUACGGCCCAGACUCCUACGGGAGGCAGCAGUGGGGAAUAUUGCGCAAUGGGCGCAAGCCUGAUGCAGCGACGCCGCGUGAGGGAUGACGGCCUUCGGGUUGUAAACCUCUUUCAGCAGGGACGAAGCGCAAGUGACGGUACCUGCAGAAGAAGGACCGGCCAACUACGUGCCAGCAGCCGCCGUAA